GCUUACGGCCAUACCACCCUGAGCACUCCCUAUCUCGUCUGAUUUCGCAAGCUAAGCAAGGUUGGGCUUGGUUAGUGCUCGGAUGGGAGACUGCCUGGGAAUAACAGGUGUUGUAAGCC
rnacentral:rRNA from 1 species